rfam:Hordeum vulgare subsp. vulgare, WGS project CAJW01000000 data, contig: morex_contig_57592
AUACUACUCCCUCAUCCGGAAAUACUUGUCAUAGGAAUGGAUGUAUCUAGAUGUAUUUUGGUUAUAGAUACAUUCACUUUCAUUCAUUUUUGCGACAAGUAAUUCUGGACGGAGGGAGUAUAAC